AGAACCCCGGCAGUGGGUAGGCCUGUCUCAUGGAACAGGUCGGAACUACUGAUUUGGCACACUGUUCUCGGAGAUUCUUGGACAAAUUCUCUUGUACAGGGUCUGAAAUUCAGCCCAUUCCCACCCAGAAAGCAAGGAGGAGAUAUAAUCAAAGAAUUCAGAACCUGAUCAAACUCCUACCCCACUUUGAAGACAUCACCCAGUUAUCCUAGUUAUCCAACCACCAGAAGAAAAGAAUAGUGAAAAGACUAGAGCUUCACAGACUUGUAUGGAAGAAAUGUUAACAGCAGAGGGGUGAAAUCUGUAUGGUUAACAUCCGAGUGGGUACAGAAUAAAGUGUCAAGGGCUGGUCUCUUGGUGCAUGUGACUCCUGAUUAGAGUAAGGCCCCGAACUAUUCCCUAAGCUUUCACUGCUAAUGAAGUC
rnacentral:lncRNA from 1 species